UGUUUUUGUAGAUUUGAAUUCAAAUUUCAAAGGAAGUUAUGGUUAAUUGUCUUUUUGCGAUGGAAGUUUUUGCUAUGUAUUUAUUAAUUUGAAUAGGCAUUUUUCAGAUUGGUUUACUUUUUGAAGAUUAUCAUAUGUUUAUGUCCUCCGUAAUGAUAAAUUAUUUAAUUAAAUAUUAAGACGACCACUUGAUUUUACGAUCAAAUUCUACGGUGGUUGAAAGUUUUCCUAGCUUAUUUACAUGUUUGAUGUCUCAUUUUGUGUUGUUGAUGUUAUACGGGUCGUGGUAGUAUUGGACAAGGAGAACUAUUCUUUAGAAGAGCUUCUGGAUGAAUAGGAAAUAACACAGGAAUGCAUGGCCCUAAAUAGCCGUCUCAUUAACUUUUUAAGAGAGAUGCCUCAGGUUGAGCAAUUGUUUCACUAUGUACAUUGUUGAAUAAUCACCAAUUGAUGCUGAAAACAAACAAAUCUUCAAGUAUGCAGUUUUAACAAAUAAUUUGAUUAAAAAGAGCUUAUGUUUCAACUUUCUUAUUUACCUCAUUUUGGCAUCUGAUCAUUGAUCUAUGGUUUAGAUUUAUGUUCAUGGCCUACGAGAUCUUUAAGUGUAAAAUUGAUGUCAUUUUGAAGACCUUGGUUGAGGAAAAGGAGGUUUAUACUCCAUUUUCAUGACACACUUUGUUUUUUGUUCAUGGAUUUGUUGUUCUCCUUCUUGGAACCUGACCGUUCUCAAAGUCCGUUACUGGUUGGGUACUUCAACAAGGUUGUUCUUUGUCUAAUGGUUUGGAAAACGGCUUAACUUGUCAUUUAUGUUCAA